CGAACGCUGGCGGCGUGCUUAACACAUGCCAGUCGCACGCUGAAGCUUGGUGCUUGCACUGGGUGGAUGAGUGGCGAACGGGUGAGUAAUACGUGAGUAACCUGCCCUUGACUCUGGGAUAAGCCUGGGAAACUGGGUCUAAUACUGGAUACGACAUGUCACCGCAUGGUGGUGUGUGGAAAGGGUUUUACUGGUUUUGGAUGGGCUCACGGCCUAUCAGCUUGUUGGUGGGGUAAUGGCUCACCAAGGCGACGACGGGUAGCCGGCCUGAGAGGGUGACCGGCCACACUGGGACUGAGACACGGCCCAGACUCCUACGGGAGGCAGCAGUGGGGAAUAUUGCACAAUGGGCGGAAGCCUGAUGCAGCGACGCCGCGUGAGGGAUGACGGCCUUCGGGUUGUAAACCUCUUUCAGCACGGAAGAAGCGAAAGUGACGGUACGUGCAGAAGAAGCGCCGGCUAACUACGUG
rnacentral:rRNA from 1 species